rnacentral:rRNA from 1 species
UACGGAGGAUGCGAGCGUUAUCCGGAUUUAUUGGGUUUAAAGGGUGCGUAGGCGGGAUGCCAAGUCAGCGGUAAAAAUGCGGUGCUCAACGCCGUCGAGCCGUUGAAACUGGCGUUCUUGAGUGGGCGAGGAGUAUGCGGAAUGCGUGGUGUAGCGGUGAGAUGCAUAGAUAUCACGCAGAACUCCGAUUGCGAAGGCAGCAUACCGGCGCCCUACUGACGCUGAGGCACGAAAGCGUGGGUAUCGAACAGG